rnacentral:rRNA from 1 species
UACGAAGGGGGCUAGCGUUGUUCGGAAUCACUGGGCGUAAAGGGCGCGUAGGCGGCUUUGUAAGUCGGGGGUGAAAGCCUGUGGCUCAACCACAGAAUUGCCUUCGAUACUGCAUGGCUUGAGACCGGAAGAGGUAAGUGGAACUGCGAGUGUAGAGGUGAAAUUCGUAGAUAUUCGCAAGAACACCAGUGGCGAAGGCGGCUUACUGGUCCGGUUCUGACGCUGAG